rnacentral:lncRNA from 1 species
GUUCCCUUGGAAUGCCAGAUGACCUCUGCCCUUGACUUUUCAUGGGGGCAGAUGUUUCUUUAUCACAGCUGCUGGUAAGUAUGGUAUUAGAGGGUGUGUAGCUCAUUUCACAACAUGCCAACCCCACCAGGGCACCUUGAAGCUGAAGAUUCUUAGGACUUACAUAUGAGCCACCUGUCCACGGAAGACACAGACGGAAAUUGUAUCAGUAAUUAAUUCACAGCCAAUGUGCCACUUUUUCUGCAAACUAACCCCCAACCUUCAAGAAGCCAUUGAUAACAACAGAAAGUAGGAAACUCAGUCUUUCUGGUGAAUUCACUCUGGUGUCGCUCUCUUGCUCUACUGCUUGUGCUGUAUCCAUCAGAAGAGAGGAGAUUCCAAGACCUGGAGCACAGCCAGAGGACUGCAAUCAUGGUUUCUUCAGAUGCACACUUAAGGAAAACUUCUCAACUCUUCUCCAAGAAUCCCCUGCCUCCAUCCCUAGAGAAUCAUGGCUUCAAAAUGAAACAUAAAACAAAGUUUUGAGCUGACUUUGGUCGAAAUCUCAAAUACUAUAAACUGUACAGUACUGUCUGCAGGUGGACCACAUUGUAGGGGAAAUAACGUGAUUCAAGCCAGCCACCUGCCCCUGCUUUCCAGGAUUCUACCACUCAGCUCUGAUCAAGCUAGCAUCCCUCCUCCUGUCACCAGCAAAGCCCAUGAAACAUUUCCAAGAAUUAAAAAUAGAAUCUGGGUAAUAAAAUAAAAGUCUAACCUUUUUUUCCUUUGUGC